rnacentral:rRNA from 1 species
UACGUAGGUGGCAAGCGUUAUCCGGAAUUAUUGGGCGUAAAGCGCGCGUAGGCGGUUACUUAAGUCGGAUGUGAAAGCCCUCGGCUUAACUGAGGAAGUGCACCCGAAACUGAGUAGCUAGAGUACGAAAGAGGGUCGCGGAAUUCCCGGUGUAGAGGUGAAAUGCGUAGAGAUGUGGAGGAACACCAGUGGCGAAGGCGACUCUUUGGCCUGUAACUGACACUGAGGCGCGAAAGCGUGGGGAGCAAACAGG